AAUAAGCCGCGGGGGUGGUUGUCUUAAAAAGACAGCCUGAGAAUAUACCCUUAGAACCUGAUGCAGGUAAUGCUGCCGUAGGGAAGCGGGCUUGAGAAAACC
rnacentral:ncRNA from 2 species